rnacentral:rRNA from 1 species
AAUUUUGGACAAUGGGCGCAAGCCUGAGCCAGCCAUGCCGCGUGAGUGAAGAAGGCCUUCGGGUGGUAAAGCUAUUUCGGACGGAAAGAAAUUGCGCAGGCCAAUACCCUGCGCGGAUGACGGUACCGGCCGAAGUAGCACCUGCGAACUACGUCACAGCUGCCGCGGUAAUACGUAGGGUGCGAGCGUUAAUCGGAAUUACUGGGCGUAAAGCGAUCGCAGGCAGUUGAUUAAGACGGGCGUGAAAUCCCCGGGCUUAACCUGGGAACUGCGCUUGUGACUGGUCAGCUAGAGUACGGCAGAGGGGGGUGGAAUUCCACGUGUAGCAGUGAAAUGCGUAGAGAUGUGGAGGAACACCGAUGGCGAAGGCAGCCCCCUGGGCCGAUACUGACGCUCAUGCACGAAAGCGUGGGUAGCAAACAGG